UACGGGGGGGGCAAGCGUUGUUCGGAAUUACUGGGCGUAAAGGGCUCGUAGGCGGCCAACUAAGUCAUACGUGAAAUCCCCCGGCUUAACCUGGGAACUGCGUCGGAUACUGGAUGGCUUGAAUUCGGGAGAGGGAUGCAGAAUUCCAGGUGUAGCGGUGAAAUGCGUAGAUAUCUGGAGGAAUACCGGUGGCGAAGGCGGCAUCCUGGACCGACAUUGACGCUGAGGAGCGAAAGCUAGGGGAGCAAACGGG
rnacentral:rRNA from 1 species